rnacentral:rRNA from 1 species
AUUGAACGCUGGCGGCAUGCUUUACACAUGCAAGUCGAACGGUAACAGGCCUUCGGGCGCUGACGAGUGGCGAACGGGUGAGUAAUGCAUCGGAACGUGCCCAGUCGUGGGGGAUAACGCAGCGAAAGCUGUGCUAAUACCGCAUACGAUCUGCGGAUGAAAGCGGGGGACCUUCGGGCCUCGCGCGAUUGGAGCGGCCGAUGUCAGAUUAGCUAGUUGGUGGGGUAACGGCCUACCAAGGCUCCGAUCUGUAGCUGGUCUUAGAGGACGAUCAGCCACACUGGAACUGAGACACGGUCCAGACUCCUACGGGAGGCAGCAGUGGGGAAUAUUGGACAAUGGGGGAAACCCUGAUCCAGCCAUGCCGCGUGAGUGAUGAAGGCCUUCGGGUUGUAAAGCUCUUUUGUCAGGGAAGAACAAGUAUCGGAGUAACUGCCGGUACCUUGACGGUACCUAACCAGAAAGCCACGGCUAACUACGUGCCAGCCGCCGCGGUAAGAC